UACGGAGGGAGCUAGCGUUGUUCGGAAUUACUGGGCGUAAAGGGCGCGUAGGCGGUCUUUUAAGUCUUGUGUGAAAUCCCUCGGCUCAACUGAGGAACUGCACGGGAUACUGGAAGACUUGAGUUCGGGAGAGGGAAGCGGAAUUCCGGGUGUAGCGGUGAAAUGCGUAGAUAUCCGGAGGAACACCGGUGGCGAAGGCGGCUUCCUGGACCGAUUACUGACGCUGAUGCGCGAAAGCUAGGGGAGCAAACGGG
rnacentral:rRNA from 1 species